GCCCCGGUAGCUCAGCAGGAUAGAGCAACGGCCUCCUAAGCCGUAGGUCACCCGUUCGAAUCGGGUCCGGGGUA
rfam:Spirochaeta americana strain ASpG1 genome assembly, contig: Ga0071122_108